rnacentral:rRNA from 1 species
AGUGAACGCUGGCGGUAGGCCUAACACAUGCAAGUCGAACGGCAGCACAGUAAGAGCUUGCUCUUACGGGUGGCGAGUGGCGAACGGGUGAGGAAUACAUCGGAAUCUACUUUUUCGUGGGGGAUAACGUAGGGAAACUUACGCUAAUACCGCAUACGACCUACGGGUGAAAGCAGGGGAUCUUCGGACCUUGCGCGAUUGAAUGAGCCGAUGUCGGAUUAGCUAGUUGGCGGGGUAAAGGCCCACCAAGGCGACGAUCCGUAGCUGGUCUGAGAGGAUGAUCAGCCACACUGGAACUGAGACACGGUCCAGACUCCUACGGGAGGCAGCAGUGGGGAAUAUUGGACAAUGGGCGCAAGCCUGAUCCAGCCAUACCGCGUGGGUGAAGAAGGCCUUCGGGUUGUAAAGCCCUUUUGUUGGGAAAGAAAAGCAGCGGGUUAAUACCCCGCUGUUCUGACGGUACCCAAAGAAUAAGCACCGGCUAACUUCGUG